rnacentral:rRNA from 1 species
CCUUUGCUGAGGAUACGGUUAACGGAGCGCAAGCGACGUUCAACCGCAAAAGAAGCAGAGGGGGCUUAGUGGUGGGGUGACUGCGUACCUUUUGUAUAAUGGGUCAGCGACUUAUAUUCUGUAGCAAGGUUAACCGUAUAGGGGAGCCGGAGGGAAACCGAGUCUUAAUUGGGCGUUAAGUUGCAGGGUAUAGACCCGAAACCCGGUGAUCUAGCCAUGGGCAGGUUGAAGGUUGGGUAACACUAACUGGAGGACCGAACCGACUAAUGUUGAAAAAUUAGCGGAUGACCUGUGGCUGGGGGUGAAAGGCCAAUCAAACCGGGAGAUAGCUGGUUCUCCCCGAAAGCUAUUUAGGUAGCGCCUCGUGAAUUCAUCUCCGGGGGUAGAGCACUGUUUCGGCUAGGGGGCCAUCCCGGCUUACCAACCCGAUGCAAACUGCGAAUACCGGAGAAUGUUAUCACGGGAGACACACGGCGGGUGCUAACGUCCGUCGUGAAGAGGGAAACAACCCAGACCGCCAGCUAAGGUCCCAAAGUCAUGGUUAAGUGGGAAACGAUGUGGGAAGGCCCAGACAGCCAGGAUGUUGGCUUAGAAGCAGCCAUCAUUUAAAGAAAGCGUAAUAGCUCACUGGUCGAGUCGGCCUGCGCGGAAGAUGUAACGGGGCUAAACCAUGCACCGAAGCUGCGGCAGCGAACGUAUCACUUAAAGCGAUUCAGCGGGUUACGAUUGACGGAGCGAAGCGACGUCAAAGCGUAUACAAAGUCGAGUCGGUUUA